rnacentral:rRNA from 1 species
GACAUGCAGAGAACUUUCCAGAGAUGGAUUGGUGCCUUCGGAACUCUGACACAGGUGCUGCAUGGCUGUCGUCAGGCUCGUGUCGUGAGAUGUUGGGUUAAGUCCGUAACGAGCGCAACCCUUGUCCUUAGUUACCAGCACGUUAUGGUGGGCACUCUAAGGAGACUGCCGGUGACAAACCGGAGGAAGGUGGGGAUGACGUCAAGUCAUCAUGGCCCUUACGGCCUGGGCUACACACGUGCUACAAUGGUCGGUACAAAGGGUUGCCAAGCCGCGAGGUGGAGCUAAUCCCAUAAAACCGAUCGUAGUCCGGAUCGCAGUCUGCAACUCGACUGCGUGAAGUCGGAAUCGCUAGUAAUCGUGAAUCAGAAUGUCACGGUGAAUACGUUCCCGGGCCUU